rnacentral:rRNA from 1 species
UACGUAGGGUGCAAGCGUUGUCCGGAAUUAUUGGGCGUAAAGAGCUCGUAGGUGGCGGGUCACGUCGGGUGUGAAAGCCCGGGGCUUAACCCCGGGUCUGCAUUCGAUACGGGCUUGCUAGGGUCCGGCAGGGGAGACUGGAAUUCCUGGUGUAGCGGUGAAAUGCGCAGAUAUCAGGAGGAACACCGGUGGCGAAGGCGGGUCUCUAGUACGGUACUGACGCUGAGACGCGAAAGCGUGGGGAGCGAACAGG